GUAUGUAUGUAUGUAUGUAUGGAGAGAGACACAGAGAGAGAGAGAGAGAGAAAGCUUGAGUUGGCUACACUCACCAGAUUGGCAAUUGUUUUUGCCUAUGCAGCAAUGCUCGUUUAUAAUGGUGGUGGGCAGCUUGGAUGGUCUGCUACUCUGCAGGCAACCACUGCAAGCCAUUCAUUGAGAAAAGUGAUGAGACUGCAAUAUCUAACAAACCAAAAGUGAUUCUGAGCCUCUGAUUCUCUCCUUCUUCCUCAUUCAGAACUAAGCCCUUGUUCACUUGUCCACUCCUUUCUCAAAAUUUUCAUUUUUUUCAAACUUUUCAAUGUUCAAAAUAUUUAUCUGAAAUGAUUUGGAGUUUAUUGAUUUCUGUUUCUUCUUUUUCUUGAUGUCAGAGUUGGAUCUCGACUCGACUGGACUCAUUUACAGCCUUUAUGUCAAAGUUGGAUCUUUUUCUUGAUGAAAGCUCUUUAGACCCCUCCCUUGUUUUCUUUUUUUUGUCAUUUUGGUAACUAUUGCUUGGCAGCUUGGAUGGUCUGCUUGUCUGCAGACAACCGCUGCUAAAAUGAUUCGUUUGAGAUGUUGUGCGGGAGGAGGAAAGAUGGAUCGAAGGCGAGUCUGAUCCUCUAGUUGCUUGUUCCCAUCCUUUUUAUCUUCUAAGAUAAGUAUUCUAUUUAUUUCUCUAUUCUGUUUUUCUGAAAUUUUGUUAUGUUUAUGAAUUUUCUAUGAUAGCUUCAUGCAAAUAUAAAAUAACUUCCUUUAGAGUCUGUUACAUUUUUUUCCAAGAUUUUGUUGCAUUGGUAUGUAGCUUUUCUUUUUUGUUCCAAAAAAAUGGUUCAAUUUCACUGCAAUCCAAAAUGACGCCAAAGUCCCUUUUUUCGGUAUUCAAGUAUUUUCUCUGUGAAAAUUAAGAUCAAAAGAUGAUUGAAGACAAUGUUAUUUUGCAAAUAAUGCCAUAGCAAAUCUCAAUAGGGAGCUAGUCUCCCAGUUACCUUAUUUUAGACAUUACCUUUGAUUGCAUUCGUAUCUUUAUCUUGCUCUAUCUUUUCUCGAGGCGUUGAUGAGGAAACCUCUUUUUGACUCUUCUGUUUUUCUUCUGCAAAGUCUGCAUGGCAGCGUUGAUGGUCUGUUGUUUCAUAGACAACCAUUUGAGAGGAGUACAAUAAAAGAAAUUAUGUGAGGAUCCAUGCAGAUUUUUGUUUGGUCCCAUUUCAUGUGCUUGUUAGGAAGGUUUUUUAUACUUAAGCAGGGCCAAGCACAUCAAUUGAUAAUCUUCUAGCUUGCCCUCUCUAGUUGAUCUCUUGGGUUGUUACAAGGGAUGACUUAUGGAUCAAAGGUGAAUUAGAGCCUCUAACAUCUUCUUCCAUUCCUUUUUAGAGAAGGUCCUUUUUUUUUUCUUCACCCUUUUUGAAUUUUUGUCUAUGUUUUUUUUUCUAAGUUCUUUUCCAUUAACCCAACCAUCUUGACCAUCUCAGGAUUAAGGCUUAGCUGACUCUAGCUAGCUAGCAAUUAAAGCUUAGUCGAGUUUAGUUAUACAUACAUAUAUAUACACAUACAUAUAUAUCCACAUACAUAGACUUACGUACAUAUCUACAUAUACAUACAUAUAUUUACAUAUAUAUGGAUCCUUCCAUACAGUAGUUGACUCCGGAGGGAUGGAAGACUUGAGAUGGAAUGAAACCUAUCGCCUCCAGAGAGAGAGAUGUUUACCUAUCCUCCCCUGCAACCAAAUGUUCGUUGGCUAGAUUUGAAACCAACGAAGAGGAAUCGGACCACCUUCUGACCCGACCUGAUUACCCUCAUCGAGCAAUAAGUAGAACAGCCUUUGAAGCCUUCCCCAAUUCCCUAUCCUCCUUGGAAAUAAAUUUUCUCUUGAAACCGAGAAACCGACUCGCUUCAGACAUUUGUUUCCUCCUGCCAUCGAUGUAAUGUAGUUCAGCACCUCUACCACCUCCCUCUCCCCAAUCAACUUACUCUUCUUUUGACUGAUCAGGGAAGAUCAAACACUUCAAUCAAUGUGAGAUUCGUUAAUGCCUCACUGAAGAAGAAACCAGAAUGCUUUCCAUGGCCGACCCGCUCCCACAUAAAAAAAAUACUAAUUGCCUCAAACCGAAAAAAAAUAGUUAAUUGCAUUUGAUCGAGAUCAGGACCCCCCAACAGGGGUAGGGGCGGAGGUGAAUAAAUGAAUGAAUAAAGGUAGUAUCCUCUCGUGCCCUAUUAAUUAAUCAAGUUCCAUGCAUUACAUCAGGUUGGUCUAUUCCACUCGAAGCCCUAUUAGAAUGGGCUAGAGCGAAUCUUUUUUUCCCACUUUGACUUCGCACUCACCGGGCAAUAAUCACGAUGAAGCGUCUAGAGAGAAUCAUGGGGUAGGUGAGAGGCCUCAAAGUGAAGUCGUUGUAACAGAAGCGCCCCAAAAAAAGCCUACCGAUAAAAUCCAUUCCCUCGUGCUUCCAUCAAACGAAGCACUAUGCUCUAUCCAUCAUGCUGACCAAGGACAAAACCCAUGGAUGCUCACAUUACUGACAGAUAAAUCAGGAGAGGUCGACCAAGCAAGCAUGAUCAAGCCAGGUGAGCCUUUCUUGUUAACCAAAGGCAGAAUUUCAGAGAAACUUAGACCCGAAAGGAUUGGACCCAUUUAAACAAAGUUUGAAUUCCAGCUCCGACUAGGUAGACAACACUUGAGCUAGCACUACACAACCGAACUGAUCAUGGGCCAGAACACCGCUAUUGGGGGACAAAGUGGACCUUUACACGAAGCGGAAAACUUUAUGAUGCUUCAAAGCCCACAAAGGCGAACGAAAUUACCUAUAAUGAAUGAAAUAGCUACUGAGGCAACUGUACGAAAAGUUGUCUAGUGAUUCGACCACCCCCCUAGGGCCCAGGAAUGGGUAUACUAGAAACAGAGCUAGUUGCCCUUUAUGUAAGUAUGUAUGUAUGUACAACUCAACUUGAUUAAGCUUUAAUUCAGAGCUAGUUGGAGUCAGCUAAGCCUUAAUUUUGAGCUGGUUGGAGUCGGCAACAUGAAUCAUUUUCCUCUAUUCUACUCUGAUAGGAUACACAAUGCAUUUUCAAUGAUAAAUAUCAAGGGACUUGAAAAUUCAACCUGUAUGGUUAACAGUCACACAGUCUAACCAACUGAGAUGCUAGGGAGAAUCUAGAGGCGGUGAUGAUUAACCUUCUAGCUAUGUGAUGGUAGAGCAGAUAUAUAUAUAUAUAUAUAUAUAUAUAUAUAUAUAUAUAUAUAUAUAUAUAUAUAUAUUGUGUGUGUGUUGAGAGAGAGAGAGAGAGCUUGACUUGGCUCCACUCGAGUGAAUUUUCACCAGAUUGGCAAUUGUUUUUGCCUAUGCAGCAAUGCUCGUUUACAAUGGUGGUGGGCAGCUUGGAUGGUCUGCUACUCUGCAGGCAACCACUGCAAGCCAUUCAUUGAGAAAAGUGAUGAGACUGCAAUAUCUAACAAACCAAAAGUGAAUCUGAGCGUCUGCUUCUCCCCUUCUUCCUUCAUUCAGAACUAGGCCCUUGUUCAUUUGUCCACUCCUUUUUCAAAAUUUUCAUUUUUUUCAAACUUUUCAAUGUUCAAAAUAUUUAUCUGAAAGGAUUUGGAGUUUAUUGAUUUCUGUUCUUCUUUUUCUUGAUGUCAAAGUUGGAUCUUGACAUGACCCGACUCAUUUACAGCCUUUAUGUCAUUUGUUGAGGUAUGAAAACUCCAUGGAGAAGUAAAUAAAGGUUGGUGACCUGGUGCUCCCCGAGUUGGCACCCUCUUUGUUAUAAGAUGAACAAAGAUUCUAUAGAGUGCCCGCCAGGUCAUGAACUGGAGAUCUUCCGAACUCGGCUCUUAAACGCCAUACGCCUCUCUAUAUAUGUGCCUUGGUCUAUCGUUUCUAUGGAGGUAGUGAUGAUGAAGCUCUUUUAGAUUCCUCCCUUAUUUUUCUUUUGUGACGAUUGUGAGGUAGCUUGUAUGGUCUGCUACCUCUGCUGCCAUUUGUUGACAAAGAUUGCAGAUGAAGUGGGAUGAUGGAUCAAAGGUGAAUCUGAGCCAUUCCCCACUUGUCCCUAUCCAUUUUAUGUUCUGAGAUAAGUACCCUGUUUAUUACUCUGUUCUUUAUGAUAUUUGUAUGUUGAAAUCAUGCAAAUCGGAGGUGAUCUGUAAAAAUUCAUUUUCUUCGAGGGAUUUAUAAUGUUUUUGUUGGGUUUUGUCACAAUGAUAUUUAUCUUCUUUAUUUUUCUCGAAAUUGUCCCUACCAUCCAAAUGGCACCAAAUCCUCUUUUUUGAGUAUACAAGUCUUUUACUUUCUAACAAUUUAAGACCACAGAAUGGUUGAAAGAAAACAUUAGAAAUCAUGCCAUAACAAAUAUCAAUGGGAAAGUAGUCUCCCAGGUACUAUUCAUAAAAGAUAUAAGGUGGCAACAGGUGAAGUGAACAUUUUAAAACAACAUAAAGAAAAAAUAAAACAUGAAAAGAAACUUUAGUAUAAUUAAACGGAAUUUGUGCAAACCCCAAACUUAAUUCAUAUGGUGCUGGUGCGUCGUUGUUUCUGUAGCCUGUUCAGUCAUCAAGGAGGAAUCUAGAAUGGAUAGCCAGGAUUCCUAAAAAGCUCUUUGGAAAGGGGGUGUCUGCUCAUUAUAACAUUACCGGAUUAGUGCCUGAUAUACUAGUAUUUUUGUUCCUAUUCGGGAUCUGAGUCUAAUGCUAUUAUUCUCCACUCCUCUUUAUACCUUUCCUAAAUUACGAUUAUGAAAAUAUCUCAUAUAAGGCCCUUAAAUUAGGAAAAUAAAAGAUUUCUAUGUGGGGAAGAAAUCUAUAAAUGGCAAAGAGAUCUCGUGUUAUUAAAGCAUUCUGAGCAGUUUUUAAAUUAAUAUUUGGCCUCAUACCCUUCCUCUCAAAGUUUAAAAUAUCGCCUGUUAUCAUGUUAUAAUGGGUGGCCAUCUCAGGCCCCUUCCAUUGUUAUGUAUCGGAAAGAGUAGUGGCUCUUACAGUGGGUUAUUUAGUGGUACAGUGGCCCAUCAUAACACUGUUGUUAUUCUCAUGUUCAGUUUCUUGCUGAAUAAGAUAGUGUUUUCAAAAUUCAAAUGUGAUACUGACUUUCUCUCCAAAGGACCUUGUACCAUUUGAAAAUAUACUUUUAAUAAAUGAACAAUGGUUGGAAAGUAAAAAUGUUAUUCUUUGAUUAUUUUCUGUUAUAAUAUGGUUAUACAAUUGCAUUUUAAUGCUAAAAAAUUUGAAAUCAGUGGGGCAUGUAGCGGCUGUUAUAUCUGUCAUAACAGUCAUAUAACGGUUAUGAUGACGGCAGGCCUCGGCUCAAAGGAAGGUGAAUCUUUCUUGAAUUAGGAGGUUUCGAGGAGAGAAGACAGAUUGCCCAAAGUCCCCUUCUUUUGUUUGCCUUUCUCUGAAGUAUCCAAACAGGGCAAGGGCAGCUCGGAAGGUCUGCUGCUCUGCAGACAACCGCUGCAGCCAUUCGAUGAGAUGAGUCCAGGGUUGAUGAAGAAGAGAUGAUGGAUCAAAGGAAGCAAAGGCCCCAUAUAAAACGGGAACAAGAGCUGGCUAUGAGUCUUCCCUCUUGAUGGAAGGGAGGUGGAGAGUUUCCUGGCCUGCAGAGGGGCAAUAUGGGAAGUUGGGGACAGUAGUUUUGUUUUGGGUGGAGAAGAAAGAGAGAGGAGGGAUUUGGCUGGCUUGAUACACAUGUCUGAAGCCACUCUCAUCUUUCAUCCCUUCUCUUUUUGGUUUUGGUCUUGGUUUUCCUUCCCUCACAUUACUCCUGAUCUAGCUGGGCCAUCAGAAAGAAAGAUAGGGGGAUUGGAGAUGGACUUCUUGGAGGCUGGAGAUUCUUUUAAUUUUCUCCUCUCUAUUUCUUCUCCCCUCUUGGGUGGUAGAGAGAGAAAAGGAGGGAGGGGGUUGAAUGGCUGCUGUGCUGUAAUGUUGCAGUUGCUGCUUGGGUACUCACUUGAUGGGGAGAUGGUGGGAUGGGAAUUAGGAAGAGUUGGUCGGUUGGUGCCCUGGUGCUACCAGGAGCUGCCCUCUUCAACAAUAUAACAUGGCUGUUAUUUAAGACCUCUCUGUUUUGAAUCCAUUCUUCUCUUUAUGUUGUUGUACUUUUUAUAUGGAGGCGAUGAUGAUGAAACCUUUUUUGGACUCCUCCCUCUGUUUUCCUUUGCAACAGUGCAUGGCAGCUGGGAUGGUCUAUUUCUAUUUCUUAAUAGACAACCGCUGCAAUCACUUGUUGAGAGGAGUGCAGCAGAAGGAUGUGACUUGUGAGGAUCCGUGCGGGUGUUUGUUUAGUCCCACAUCGGCUGUGUGUUUGGGUGGUCCUGGCAGGGCAAGGACACCAAUUCAUAACCUUCUGGCUAGACCUUUUUGGGUGAGGUCUUUGGUCGUUAUAAAAAAAAUGAAUGAUGGAUCAAAGGUGAAUCUGAGCCUCUCUAUGUUUCUUCAUUCCUUUCUUUCAAAGACAAGGUCCCUUGUUUUUUAGUUCAUUCUUUUCCAACUCUUGUUUGUCAAUGAUUCUUCUAUGUUUAAGUCUUUCGAAUUUGUAGUGAUCUCUAGAAGAUUUGUUUCCUUCAAGUUUUUUCAUUUUCAUAGGUUUGCUUAAAUUAUUUGUAUCAUUGUCUCCAAUAAAGGUUAAUUUCCGUUACCAUUCAAACGCCACCACAUUCUCUAUUUUUUCCAGUAUAGGACACUCGUUCUGUUUGUGAAAAUUUAAGAUCACAAAAUGGUUGAAAGACAAAAUAUUAGAAAUCUUACUGUAGUUGAAAAUAGUAGUAUAUUUCAAGAAGUAAAUAUUCUAAACAAAAAAAAAGAAAAGAUUGAAACAAGGAAACACAUGUUUAUGUAAUUAAUCAGAAUUUUUGUAAACCUUAACUACUUGGUAGUGCAUCUGUCAGGAGGCCAUGUGAUGAAGUUAUGAAUGGAGAUGAAGAUUCUGACACAUUGUUCUCAUCAUACGUAGCAGAUCAAGAUUUUGGCACAUGAUUCUUGUCCAUGUAUCUUCAUGUAUCUUCAUAUCUCACCAGAAAUGCCCUCAGCCAGAAGUUUUAGUUGUGGUGCAAUUAUUCCCAUUGGUAUGCUCACAUGGUCAUUCCUAUUCUGCUUUUUCUUAUUCUUGAAACAAACACAGCUUUAGAUACAUCUUUGUAUUUCUGUUGGAAUGGGUUUGCGAGACUUGGAUGGUCUGCUGUUCCAUGGAUAACCAGGUGCGCCCAUUUGUUCAAAGGACGAUUUUUCUCAUUCUUGUCACGUCUGUUAAAGGGGGUAAAUCCGAGCUGCUUUCUCUUCUCUGAAGCAUGACUGGCUGGUUCAUGGUGUACUGAUCAAGGAUUGUUGUGCUGGCAUUAGAGCUCAGAUCGGUUGUCUGGCGGUAUGGUUUGGUACACUCUUAUGCUAUUCCAUCCUAAUACUUGCGCAGAGGCUGAGGGAAAGGGAGGGAGAAGACUGGCGGAGGCCAAUUGAGCAUGUCCUAACGUGGCCGCAAAGAGGGCGGGAGAGGGAGAACAGGAAAAA